UACGUAGGGCGCAAGCGUUAUCCGGAAUUAUUGGGCGUAAAGAGCUCGUAGGCGGUCUGUUGCGUCGGCUGUGAAAACCCGGGGCUCAACUCCGGGCCUGCAGCCGAUACGGGCAGACUAGAGUUCGGCAGGGGAGACUGGAAUUCCUGGUGUAGCGGUGAAAUGCGCAGAUAUCAGGAGGAACACCGGUGGCGAAGGCGGGUCUCUGGGCCGAUACUGACGCUGAGGAGCGAAAGCGUGGGGAGCGAACAGG
rnacentral:rRNA from 1 species